rnacentral:rRNA from 1 species
GACGAACGCUGGCGGCGUGCUUAACACAUGCAAGUCGAACGGAAAGGCCCUGCUUUUGUGGGGUGCUCGAGUGGCGAACGGGUGAGUAACACGUGAGUAACCUGCCCUUGACUUUGGGAUAACUUCAGGAAACUGGGGCUAAUACCGGAUAGGAGCUCCUGCUGCAUGGUGGGGGUUGGAAAGUUUCGGCGGUUGGGGAUGGACUCGCGGCUUAUCAGCUUGUUGGUUGGGUAGUGGCUUACCCAGGCUUUGAAGGGUAGCCCGCCUGGGAGGGUGACCGGCCACAUUGGGACUGAGGUACGGCCCAGACUCCUACGGGAGGCAGUGGUGGGAAGUAUUGCACAAUGGGCGGAAGCCUGAUGCAGAAACGCCGCGUGCGGGAUGACGGCCUUCGGGUUGUAAACCGCUUCCGCCUGUGACGAAGCGUGAGUGACGGUAAUGGGUAAAGAAGCACCGGCUAACUACGUG